GAAGACCCUAUGAAGCUUUAGAUAAAAGGUAGAUCAAACUACAACAUCCCCAAAACAAAGGGCUGAACCAAAUGAUUUCUACCCUAAUGUCUUUGGUUGGGGUGACCGCGGGGAAAUAAAAAACCCCCAUGUGGAACGGGAGUAUUACUCCUUUAACUAAGAGCAACAGCUCUAAUAAACAGAAUUUUUGACCAAUAAGAUCGCAACGCCGAUCAACGGACCGAGUUACUCUAGGGAUAACAGCGCAAUCCUCUUUUAGAGACCAUAUCAACAAGAGGGUUUACGACCUCGAUGUUGGAUCAGGACAUCCUAUUGGUGCAGCCGCUAUUAAGGGUUCGUUUGUU
rnacentral:rRNA from 1 species